rnacentral:misc_RNA from 1 species
GAUGAAGAACGUAGCGAAAUGCGAUAAGUAAUGUGAAUUGCAGAAUUCAGUGAAUCAUCGAAUCUUUAAACGCACAUUGCGCCCGCCAGUAUUCUGGCGGGCAUGCCUGUCUGAGCGUCAUUUCAACCCUCAUGCCCCUAGGGCGUGGUGUUGGGGAUCGGCCAAAGCCCGCGAGGGACGGCCGGCCCCUAAAUCUAGUGGCGGACCCGUCGUGGCCUCCUCUGCGAAGUAGUGAUAUUCCGCAUCGGAGAGCGACGAGCCCCUGCCGUUAAACCCCCAACUUUCCAAGGUUGACCUCAGAUCAGGUAGGAAUACCCGCUGAACUUAAGCAUAUCAAUAAGCGGAGGA